AUUGAACGCUGGCGGAAUGCUUUACACAUGCAAGUCGAACGGCAGCACGGGGGCAACCCUGGUGGCGAGUGGCGAACGGGUGAGUAAUACAUCGGAACGUGCCCGGUCGUGGGGGAUAACGUAGCGAAAGCUACGCUAAUACCGCAUACGAUCUGAGGAUGAAAGCGGGGGACCUUCGGGCCUCGCGCGAUCGGAGCGGCCGAUGUCAGAUUAGGUAGUUGGUGGGGUAAAGGCCUACCAAGCCGACGAUCUGUAGCUGGUCUGAGAGGACGACCAGCCACACUGGGACUGAGACACGGCCCCGACUCCUACGGGAGGCAGCAGUGGGGAAUUUUGGACAAUGGGCGCAAGCCUGAUCCAGCCAUUCCGCGUGCAGGACGAAGGCCUUCGGGUUGUAAACUGCUUUUGUAUGGAACGAAAAGGCUCUGGCUAAUACCUGGGGCUCAUGACGGUACCGUAAGAAUAAGCACCGGCUAACUACGUG
rnacentral:rRNA from 1 species